UUUUUCUCCUUUCGCUUUACAAUAGGCUUGAACACCUUUAUUGUAUCGCGUUUGGAGUUUUUUUGGUGUAACCUUCGUCGCGCACCCGCAUAGCGGGUGGUUUAUUUGUCACG
rnacentral:sRNA from 1 species